rnacentral:rRNA from 1 species
AUUGAACGCUGGCGGCAUGCCUUACACAUGCAAGUCGAACGGUAACAGGUCUUCGGAUGCUGACGAGUGGCGAACGGGUGAGUAAUACAUCGGAACGUGCCUAGUAGUGGGGGAUAACUACUCGAAAGAGUGGCUAAUACCGCAUGAGAUCUACGGAUGAAAGCAGGGGAUCGCAAGACCUUGUGCUACUAGAGCGGCCGAUGGCAGAUUAGGUAGUUGGUGGGAUAAAAGCUUACCAAGCCGACGAUCUGUAGCUGGUCUGAGAGGACGAUCAGCCCAACUGGGACUGAGACACGGCCCAGACUCCUACGGGAGGCAGCAGUGGGGAAUUUUGGACAAUGGGCGCAAGCCUGAUCCAGCAAUGCCGCGUGCAGGAUGAAGGCCUUCGGGUUGUAAACUGCUUUUGUACGGAACGAAAAGCCCUGGGUUAAUACCCUGGGGUCAUGACGGUACCGUAAGAAUAAGCACCGGCUAACUACGUGCCAGCAGCCGCCGUAAUAC